GUGGUUGGCUCACAAGUAAGAAAGUAAACAAAAAAAAGUUGUGUGAAGUGUGCAGCAGCUCUUUGCAUGAAGAAACCAUGAGAGGUUGGAAGCUCAUAAUUUGAGUUCGUUGGUGCAGAACUGCAGAAACACAGCUAAUCAUUUAUUAAGACCGCCUUGACGUUUCCCUCAGCUCAGUGAAAACAACUGGUUACCCGAAGUCCCACCUGAUGCCCUUGACACACAUCUCACUGGAGAGAGGACCUAGGAACCAUACCUUUGAAUAUAAUCAUCAAGGAAGGUAGCACCCAUAUUUCCCAGUUUCUGUGAGAGCCCAACCAUGACCAAGUUGCAAAACUACCACCUGUCAUAGAGGAAGAAGCAGAAAGUGCCUAUCUGUAAGGAGAAGAAAAGGAGAGGCGAGCUACCUUUUGAGAGUAUUUUAAUUUCCUUUGGUCAAGACUUAACCUGGAAGAAGCUGGCAAUCUGGAAACACCAGUGACUGCAAAAAACCUCU